rnacentral:rRNA from 1 species
CCUACGGGAGGCAGCAGUAGGGAAUCUUCCACAAUGGACGAAAGUCUGAUGGAGCAACGCCGCGUGAGCGAUGAAGGCCUUCGGGUCGUAAAGCUCUGUUGUUAGGGAAGAACAAGUACCGGAGUAACUGCCGGUACCUUGACGGUACCUAACCAGAAAGCCACGGCUAACUACGUGCCAGCAGCCGCGGUAAUACGUAGGUGGCAAGCGUUGUCCGGAAUUAUUGGGCGUAAAGCGCGCGCAGGCGGUUCCUUAAGUCUGAUGUGAAAGCCCCCGGCUCAACCGGGGAGGGUCAUUGGAAACUGGGGAACUUGAGUGCAGAAGAGGAGAGCGGAAUUCCACGUGUAGCGGUGAAAUGCGUAGAGAUGUGGAGGAACACCAGUGGCGAAGGCGGCUCUCUGGUCUGUAACUGACGCUGAGGCGCGAAAGCGUGGGGAGCGAACAGGAUUAGAUACCCUGGUAGUCCACGCCGUAAACGAUGAGUGCUAAGUGUUAGAGGGUUUCCGCCCUUUAGUGCUGCAGCAAACGCAUUAAGCACUCCGCCUGGGGAGUACGGCCGCAAGGCUGAAACUCAAAGGAAUUGACGG